UAGGCGGGGUGGGUGUGCCUAUGCAAACAAGAUCAGCCCCUGGAGUUCUUUUCCACAACUCGCCACAAUUCACCACCAGAUGUCAGGGUAGAGCUCAUCCUGACUCUGCUUACAUAAGGCUUGAUUAGGAAAAGAGGGAAAGGUCAAUUAACAUGCAUUAGCUAAUCUCAACCUAACCUCAACCUCUGUUCCUAGCCUGCAUGGACAGGUCUGUAAAGUGUUUGUGGAGGCUUUUGCAGGGAAUGUGCCUCUGCCGGAUGACUUAGAAAUGUCUGUUACCAGUGUUUUCUCUCAACAGCAGUCAUUGUUGUUCACCACUCUAGGUAACUUAAUGGAACACCUGCUGGCAGGCUUGAUGUACCCCAACGAAGGUGUAAAGGCUGCUGUCUGCUAUCUUUACGGCAAGCUGUACUCUUCCCCCAUUAGUUCAGAAAGGCUCUCAGUGCAUUUCACAGAGAGGCUGCGUGACCUCUUCCUGGCUACCCUAGGGAAUGCACAGACAAAGGAACUGCAGGUUAACUGCAUGGGUUUGCUAAAGGAGCUGCUGAAUUCUGACCAUUUUGUAUCAGUUAUUAUGAGCAAUUCAAGAAGAGGGGCAGAUUCUGAGAAUACUGAGUUGUUGGAGGGAGAGAACCUACUGCCGCUAGUGCUCAAAAAGCUGUUGCUGUCCAGAGAUGAGAUACUACAGGUGGCAAGUGUUCAAUGUAUGACUGCUGUGCUUGUGCAUUCUCCUAUCAAAUAUGCUCCUGCCUUCAUUCAUGCAGACAUCCCAGAAUUCCUGUUUGAGUGUCUCUUCUGCACCAGUGAAAUUCUCCUCUGGUCAGUUUAUUGCUGCCUGCUACUCCUAACUGAGGAGCGGCUUUUCUUUUCCAAGUGUCACACAGUCUAUGGCAUCGAGUCCGUGGUGAGGAGCCUGAAAGGGAUCCUGCAGCUGAAUAAUGUGGAGCUGCACAAGCAGGGACUUUUGCUGUUCACUGAAAUACUGAAACGGCAGCCAGUGGAAAUCAAGUUAUUCUCAAAUCUAGCCAUGUGUAAAGAUGCCAUUGGUGUUCUUGUGGAGGCAGUAAAAUGUCCGGUGCUGGAGGUAGCAGCAGAGGCUGUGAAAGCUGUGGCAGCUAUUCUGAGGAAGGACCACUUGAGCUGCCCCCCAGUGCAGUAUGUAGAGUUGCAGAAACUGAUUGAGACUAUGCUGAAGCGGUGCGCUGACCUCUCACUGCCACCCAUUAACAGGAGGCCUGCAAGUCACCUGGGGCACAGCACUCAGAACAAAGCAGUUUUGCGACAGGGGCAGUUCCUGCUCAGCACUGUGGAAGGCUUCAGAAAUGCUUGUAGGUUAGCUGUGGAAUGUCAAAGCGACCCCUUGGCUCAGGAAAACGUUUUCACCGCUCCCAGCUCGGAGAGCGAGAAUACUCUGAGCAGCUUCUCUGAGUUUCUGCUGAGGAUUUGCGACAGCCUUUGCAUCCCCAUAGUCCUGAAGCACUCAGAAAGGACUUCCAGCCCAGCUCUGAUGGAGGUUUUCAUAUCCUCCCUCAGCACCCUGUUCACUGUUGUGCCGAGCAUGCAUGAGAAAUUCUCUAGGAAGCUGGCAUCCUCUUCUUUCAUCCGACUGGCACUGGAGCUGAAGGCCAAAUUCUGCACUGGACAAAGUAACCCUGCUUUGAAUCAAGCCUGUUCCAGCUUCCUCUACACCAUGUGCCUCAGCCUUCAUUCAGCUGCAGAGAAGAUGGAGGACUCUUCCCAGCAGGAGCGAGAGAUGUCUGAGCUCCUGCAGAGGAGUCUGCCCCAGUUAAACUGCAGUGUGCCUGAAAGCCUCACCCUCCUGUCAGAAACCCCAGAUCCCUUCUGUUCAGAUGAAGCUCUUCGUAGCCACCAGUAUUGCCUCCUGCUCCUCUUGUACUGUGCCUAUGCCCUGGAAGACAGGUUUGUUCCAGAGGCAGAAUUAUUCUCAGCCAUAAGAAAUUUCCUUCUGUCAGUGCAGGACCAGGGAGACUGUCCCCCUCCUUACGUCUUCAGAGCCGUUCUUUACCUUCUGGCUGUCUGUCAAGACAAAGGCGAAGCCUUAGACUCGAGUCCACUAUGUGCCAUAAGGAGAGUCUUGGAGAAUACAUCAGAUCUAAGCUUGGUCUAUAUUCAUCAUCCUGUUCUGCUUAAAUUCUUCCUGCGUUACUCUGAGCUUAUGGGCAGAUUCGGUCGCCGGAUCCUCCAGCUCUGGUUUUCCUGGGAAGACUACAGUCAGAUUGAGACUGAAGAUGCUGUCUCUGGGCUCUCCUCUGGCUUGCCUGAUUAUCCGAACAGCUUUACCACUUUGCUUCACAUCCUGAAGGGCAAUUCCAGUGUUUUACUCAUUUUACUGGACCUGGUCUGCUUGAGCACCACAGAAGUGGCUCACAAAGUUUUGGUGACCUUGAGUAUGUUCCUGAAAAGAAACGAGGAUGUUGUUGUCUGUGACCUCCUUCGGAGUCAGUUUCUACAGAUCCUGCAGAAGCUUCUAGUGGAGAGCAGCUCCACUACGUUACAAGCUAGCAAGAACCUGCCUCUGUUGCUGAGACUUCUCUUCCUGGUGCAGCUGAGGAAUGAGGCUGAGAGAGAGCUGGACAGCACAGACUUCAAGCUGCUUCACCAUGUCAGUAACCUCUGUGGGAAAUGCAGACCAGGAGAUGUUGAGCUGCUGCAGCCUUCCUUAAACUUCCUGUAUUGGAGCCUUCACCAGACAACAACAUGUAGUCAACAGAGAGUGGUGGCUGUACUGCUCUCUAGUGUGCCUUUGUUGGAGUUGCUCCAGAAGGUUUUGGAGCUCACCUGGAUGUGGCCCUGUCGCUCUGGACCUGCUUUAUCUUCAUCCGAAGAGGCACUUCUCUGCUCUGCUUGGCUGUUGACUGCUUCCCUCUUAGUUCAUCAGCAUCGUUACAACUCUGAGGUUCACCAGACGAUCUCUCUGGAUGUAGAAAAGGUCCUGAAUGCAGUUAUCUUCAGAAGGAAGAAGCCUGCACUGCUCUUAGUCAGUAUCCUUCAGUUCCUGCGAGCCAUCCUCAGACAGAACUUCUCUUCCUCCCUGCUGGUGCUCGUAGUCCAGCCUACAGCCCAAAGCAGGAUGGAGCCAUCAUUGUCAGAGGACGAUGCCUCCCUGUAUCCACUGGCCACGUGGCAGGUGCUCUCGCUUGUUGUCAGUCUGCAGAACCUUCUGGUCCAGAAAGACCUAUUGCUGUCUCAGACUGUUGUUGCCUGCCUGGAGGUCUUGAUGGAGUACCUGCAUAAGAGGAACCAGGGCAUCGGUAAACCUGCCCAGUCCUUGCUCAUUUGGGCCUCAAUCCUACUGAGCCUUCUGGCCCUGAUCCAACAAGCACAUGUCUGACGUCAAGCCCGUGGCUACAGUCCCAUUGAAAUCAAAGGAACUACUUGUGUGUCUAAAGUUAAUCACGUGCUUCGGUGCAUUGUUGGAUUGAGGCCAGAACACCCAGGCCUCUGCAGAAUCGAACCCUUGCUGUGGUCACGAAUCCAUCCCAUGAACUGGACACAGUAUUCCAGCAGCAGUCGCACCAGUGCCAAACAGAGGUAAAAUAACCUCUCUACUGUACUCUACUCACUCAAGAUUCACCUGUUUAUGCAUCCAAGAAUCACAUUGGCCCUUUUGGCCACAGCAUCACUGGGAACUGACAUUCAGGUGAUUAACCACCACAACCCCCAAAUCUUUUUCAGAGUCUCUGCUUCUCAGGAUAGAGUCCCCCAUCAUGUUGAUAUAGCCUACAUUUUUUGUUACUAGAUGUAUACAUUUACACUUAGCCAUAUUAAAAUGCAUAUUAAAAUGGUUUGCUUGCACCCAGUUUACCAAGCAAUCCAGAUCACUCUGGAUCAGUGACCUGUCCUCUUCAUUAUUUAUCACUCCCCCAAUUUUUGUGUCAUCUGCAAACUUUAUCAGUGAUGAGUUUGUUUUCUUCCAGGUCAAUGAUAAAAAUAUUAAAUAGCCUAGGGCCAAGAAACCAUCCCUGCAGAACCCCGCUGGAAACACGUCUACUUGAUGACGAUCCCCCAUUCAGUGGCGUAGCCAGGAUCUAACAGCGGGGGGAGCAAACAUAAAAAGGGCGCACCCCCUUGGCUCCUCCUCUGGCCACGCCCCCCUUGGCUCCUCCUCCAGCCACUCAGUGCGCCCCCGCCCUUGGCUGGCUCCUCCGGCCGCGCUGCCCCUCACCCCAUUGGCUGCUGGCCAUGCUGUGCGGGCCGCCCUGCUGCAGGGAGCGCGGCUUGGGCGCCCGGGGACGGCUCCACAAGGCGGGGUGGCAGGGGGUUCCGCAGCAGGCCGGGACCAGCAGGGCUCGCUUGCAGAGGUGUCGGGGCUCGCCCCGAGCGGGGCUGUUCUCCCGUCCCCUGGGCAGGCUGGGAGCCCGGUGCCGAGCCCGCGGUAACGCUCCCUCCCGCUGGCGCCCAGCGCCAUGGCCGCACAUCCCCCCAAACUUUGCCUUGGGCCGGGCACAGAGACGCAGCUGGCUCCCAGCCCGCCACCCGCGCCCUGGGCGGGAGCUGGCGGCCACUCUCCGCUCCCCUUCCCAUGCGGCGGCCAGCAUGGACGGGCCCCUGAACCUCUCCACCACUCUGUGGGCAGCAGCAGCCAACCGGAGCGGCGGUGGCCCUGCCUGGCCGGGCCCCGCUGUCGGUGUUCAGCGUGCUGCUGCUUACCCUGCUGGCGGCCGCUGCCUUCCUGUGGAACGGGAUGAUGCUGGCCGCCAUCCUGCAGGUGUGCACCUUCCACCGCGUGGGCCGUCUAGUGCUGUCCUCCACCCUGCUCCUCCGGCCGCGUUGUGCAGGCUGCCUUGCUGCGCCUCCCUCCUCCGGCUGCGGCUGCUGGCCGCGCUGCGGGCCGCCCUGUUGCGCCCUCCCUGCCCCCUUCUCCCGCUCCAGGGGCAGCCGAGUGCCCCCUCCCCUCCCCUCUCUCCUCCUCUGCUCUGCCCCCUCCCCCGCUGCGGGUGCACUGAGCCAGGACGUUCUCAGUGGGGCGGCCGGCAGCACUGAGUCUGAGCCCAGCCAAAACGGAGCCUUUCCCUCCCAAGGCUGCUGCGAAGGCACCCAGCCUCCUCCCCCAUCACCACUUCUCCCCUGGCCGCUGGCCCCCCUAUCGCCGGGCAGCAUGCACCCAGCCCAGCCCUGCUGCCGCGCAUGCCCCGGUCCGGCCCGAGCGCUCCGGACCUGAAUGGGCCCAGCAGUGCAGGCGCGUGCAGCCCGUCUCCGCUCUUUACCUGGCCGCCUGGCGUGCUCUUCCAGACGCGCCCGCAGCCCCCCCUUCCAUGGCUCCUCCGGCCAUGCUGCCCUUCAGAGAGGAGCAGGCUCCGCCCGCUGGCACUAUAUAAGGUAACCCCUAAGAUGCCGCUUUUGAAAAAUAUAGUUAAAAAAACUCCUUCUUAUUGACCUUCUCUCUGGUGGCUACAGAUUUCUCCUUGUGUCCCUUUGUUUCCCUUAUCAGUUUUCUACAGUUCCUAACUUCUGACUUAUAUUCAUUGCUAUCAAGCUAUCAAGUUCCCCUUAUAGCUGCUUUCACUUCCCCUCUAAACCAGGUUCAUUUUUAACCAGCACUGGCUUCUUCCUCAAUUGUGGCUUUUUAGGCAUCUAUAGUAAGGUGUUCUUAAAUGAUUCCCAAUUAUCAUUCAAAUUUUUCUUAUUAAAUUCUUCCUUCCAGCUGGUUUGGCUCGUAAGUGCUUUGUGAAAUUGGCCCUAAUAAAGCACCAAGUAUAUAUAUUACUGGUCUGGACUUAAUGCUGCUUUCCCAUUAUAAAUGCGAUUAAUUCAUGGUCACUUGUACCUAAGCUACCAUUAAUUUUUAGUUCUGUGAUUUAGUUCUGCUUCUGUGGGCUGUGUAAACAUACCUAGAGAGAGAACACCAAAGAAUGAAUGAACAUCAAACAAAAGGGUAAUUGUUGGCAGGGAGGAAACUAGUAAAUGAAAAUGUGAUGUUACAGAUGAAUGCCACUCGAUAGCCCAAGUUUGUCUCUGAUAAAGUCCCCAUAGAACAAAAGAGAGAGCAGAUUAGUAGGAGGUUCCGCUGAUUCAAUAUUAAACAGAUCACAUGCUGUUUCAGCAUUUCAGCAGCAGUAUAAUAUAUCACAAACUGUGGAGUUUGGAGUAUCCUAGUUUGGAAUCCUAAGAAAAGGGGAAACAGUAUGGAUCUGUUUUUAUGGCCGUAGUGCCCAGAACCCUAGGUCAGGAUUGGGGUCCCAUUGUGCUGGGUGCUAUAGAAAUACACAGGAAGAUAUGCUCUCUACCCAGGUAAGAGCUUACAACGUAAGAAGGUGAAUGACCUACAAAAGGUGGGGAGACAACCAAAUGGGUACCGUUUUUCUAUACACUCUCAGCUUGUUUACACACCCAGUUGCACCGGUUUGAUUUAAGGUAUGAUUUUAAACCGAUUUAGCUAAAACUGGUACAGAAGGCUAUGUGGAUGCUCCUUUUGGUCUGAACCAGGCUUAUUUAGCUUAAAGGCAGAUUAGGAAGGUGCUUAAGCAAAACUGAAAUAAGCCACUCAAACUGAAAUGGGAGUGUCCACAAGGGUUUUAGUCAAUUUAGCUAAACUAGUUUUAUUAAACCCUUACAAACUUUUGUGUAGACAAGGUCUACUCCUUUGGGAAUUCUGCACCAAAAAAAUAAAAAUUCUGCACACAAUAUUUGAAAAUUCUGCAAAAAUUUGUAUAUUUUGUUUGUCAAAAUAACACAAUAUAAUCAUGCCAGUUACAAUUAUUUUG